rnacentral:rRNA from 1 species
AUUGAACGCUGGCGGCAGGCCUAACACAUGCAAGUCGAGCGAGCGGCGGACGGGUGAGUAAUGUAUGGGGACUGCCCGAUAGAGGGGGAUAACUACUGGAAACGGAGGCUAAUACCGCAUACUAUCGGAUAACCCAUAUGGGAUUAGCUAGUAGGUGGGGUAAAGGAUCCCCUAGGCGACGAUCUCUAGCUGGUCUGAGAGGAUGAACGGCCACACUGGGACGGAAACACGGCCCAGACUCCUACGGAGGCAGCGGUGGGGAAUAUGGCACAAUGGGCUCAGGCCUGAUGCGGCCCUGCAGCGUGGAUGAAGAAGGCCUGAGGGUUGUAAUGUACUUUCAGCGGGGAGGCGUUACCCGCAGAAGAAGCACCGGCUAACUCCGUGCCAGCAGCCGCGGUAAUUC